UUUUCCCGGAUGGGGUUGCCUGUCAUCACAGCUAAAUUGUCCGUUUUUGGUCUGUGGGGAGAGAGUAUGAUUAGUAUCAUUUAUAUUUAUUAUUACAUUUUGUAGAUCUCUCCCCUCCCCUUCAGGUGAUACUGCAGUAUUUAUGACUGUGCCUGUGGUCCACUGCUGACCACUGGCUGUACCCCUAAAAAAGUAUUGUUCGGUUGCUGAGCCGUAGAUUUUUGACUCAUAUUAGCGAUUUGUUCGCUCAACCGAUUUAACUGGGUAAACAGCAUAUCUACCUGAUAGUACAAGUUACAUCGCUAUGUAUAGAAUUAAAUGAGUCACUUCUGGCUACAGACAUUAUUGUAUUGGUUUAGUACUUAGUUAAACUAAAACGCUAAUACAAUUUUUGCCAAUAAAAAGAGAGAAAAAUUUUAUAUUUAAAAAAAAAAAUAUUAAUUUUGAAAUAUGAAAAAUUAAUAUUCCGAAAUAUGAAAAAUUAAUAAUUUUGAUUAAUUUUGAAAAUAUGAAAAAUUAAUAUUUUUGAUUAAUUUUGAAAUAUGAAAAAUUAAUAUUUUUAUUAAUUUUUCAAAAUUAAUCUUUAAUAAUAUAUAAAGAUAUUAAUAUCAAUCUCGAAAUAUGAAAAUUAAUAUUUCAACUUUUCAAAAAUUAUAUCUUCAAAAUAUUAUCGAAAUAUGAAAAAAAAAAUUCUUUUAUAAUAAUUUCUAUUUACUACAAAUAUAUUAUAUCAAAUAUGAUGAAUAUUAUUAAAUCUCAUGCAAAGUGCCUCCAAUUAUUAUGUCAGUAUAUUUAUGAAAAUCUUAGUAGUGCUAUCCAAAUAAUAUAUCAGCUUAGGGCAGGGUUAUAAUCACAAUAAAAAUAAUAAUUUUCCGUAAAACACUAGAAAUUAUAAUCCCUAGGGACCCUAAAAUGCUACUACUUUUCGCAGGUUUACCCCAGAUUAAAUGCGCAGCAAAGAGAAAAUUGCUACUGACUAUGCUGAGCAGCGCUAAAGUAUUAAUCCCUAGAUACUGGAAGACUGACACAUCCCCCACACCUCAAGAAUGGAUCCAUCUAAUGUCGAACUCUGAUUACUGAAAUAUAUCAACCAUAAUAGAAUCUCAACUGACGGACUUUUAUCAAAAAGCAUAAGAGCUUCCAGACUCACUGAUAUACACUAUUGUGGUACCCUUGUCUUUUAUCUCUCACCUACACAGCCCCAAUCCGGAGGGACAAACUGCCUGGAUCAGCUUACUGGACAGCUGCUAAUUGUUCAGAAGGCAUUUGUGGCACUUAUCUAGUGCUCAGUAUCCUGUAAGUAGAAGCUGUAUAUUGGGGUGUGCUGCCUUUUACCCGUAUGAUGCACACUAUUUGGCGCCUCUUCUCUUAUUUUUAUAUAUCUGCAGAUCGUGUGUUUGGCCAAUCAAACAUUUGGAAGGAGUUUUGCUGCCUGGGGACCUCUUCACAUCCUUAUACUAGUGUGGACUUUAUGAUUGACUGAUUUUGCAUUGAUGGUUUGCAAUUUUCAGCUAUAGCACUGUGGUUAUUGUUUUAUCUUAUAAUAUUGUUUUUGUUUAUAAUUUUGUAUUUCAUUCCACCAGUUUAUUUUAUCACUUCACAUCAACACUUUUAUUCAUCACUUUAUAACUUAGGAUUUUGUUAUAUAUGGGGGAUUUGUUAUAUACACUAUAAACCUUAUUUUAGGCGCAUCUGACGUUAUUUUACUAUAUUUCACUUUGUGUGUUUUUCUUGGCAUUUUUCAGAGAGCGACUGUUUUGUGCCACUAGCACUUUCAUCCUACACAUCAUCCUUAUUUAUAUUAUCCCUUUCAUAUUACAUUAUGCAGAGUAAAGAACAAAGGAUUAAUUUUCGUCACACUUUAAGUAAUUUAGACACUCCACUUGAGGAAUCAUCCAGGGGAGAUGACGAAUUAUCUUUUACACAACUUUUACACAAAUUAGAAGAUGCACUGAAAUGCGAACAUAGGCACUGGUGGGACAUUGACACUUUUAAAAAAUAUAAACUCAAAGGUCAUAUACCUAGAGGACUUAGACUGUCAAAAAUUUGUAAUUUUACACAUGAUAAAGACUUGACAAUCAAAUGGCAAAA